ensembl:snRNA U6 U6 spliceosomal RNA
GUGCUCACUUUGAAAGCACAUACACUAAAAUUAGAAUGACAAAGUAGAUUAGUAUGGACCUUUGCACAAGGAUGACAUGAAUAUUUGUAAAGCAUUCCAUAUUUUU